UAGAGUUUGAUCCUGGCUCAGAUUGAACGCUGGCGGCAUGCUUUACACAUGCAAGUCGAACGGUAACAGGCCUUCGGGUGCUGACGAGUGGCGAACGGGUGAGUAAUGCAUCGGAACGUGCCCAGAGGUGGGGGAUAACGCAGCGAAAGCUGUGCUAAUACCGCAUGUGAUCUGAGGAUGAAAGCGGGGGACCAAGCAGCAAUGUUUGGCCUCGCGCCUCUGGAGCGGCCGAUGUCAGAUUAGGUAGUUGGUGGGGUAAAGGCCUACCAAGCCGACGAUCUGUAGCUGGUCUGAGAGGACGAUCAGCCACACUGGGACUGAGACACGGCCCAGACUCCUACGGGAGGCAGCAGUGGGGAAUUUUGGACAAUGGGCGCAAGCCUGAUCCAGCAAUGCCGCGUGCGGGAAGAAGGCCUUCGGGUUGUAAACCGCUUUUGUACGGAACGAAAAGGCUCUGGCUAAUACCUGGGGCUGAUGACGGUACCGUAAGAAUAAGCACCGGCUAACUACGUGCCAGCCGCCGCGGUAAUUCA
rnacentral:rRNA from 1 species